UUGACCUCAAAUCAGGUAGGACUACCCGCUGAACUUAAGCAUAUCAAUAAGCGGAGGAAAAGAAACUAACAAGGAUUCCCCUAGUAACUGCGAGUGAAGAGGGAAAAGCUCAAAUUUAAAAUCUGGCAGCUUUGCUGUCCGAGUUGUAAUUUAG
rnacentral:rRNA from 1 species